GACGAACGCUGGCGGCGUGCCUAAUACAUGCAAGUAGAACGCUGAAGGAGGAGCUUGCUUCUCUGGAUGAGUUGCGAACGGGUGAGUAACGCGUAGGUAACCUGCCUGGUAGCGGGGGAUAACUAUUGGAAACGAUAGCUAAUACCGCAUAAGAGUAGAUGUUGCAUGACAUUUGCUUAAAAGGUGCAAUUGCAUCACUACCAGAUGGACCUGCGUUGUAUUAGCUAGUUGGUGGGGUAACGGCUCACCAAGGCGACGAUACAUAGCCGACCUGAGAGGGUGAUCGGCCACACUGGGACUGGGACACGGCCCAGACUCCUACGGGAGGCAGCAGUAGGGAAUCUUCGGCAAUGGACGGAAGUCUGACCGAGCAACGCCGCGUGAGUGAAGAAGGGUUUCGGAUCGUAAAGCUCUGUUGUAAGAGAAGAACGAGUGUGAGAGUGGAAAGUUCACACUGUGACGGUAUCUUACCAGAAAGGGACGGCUAACUACGUG
rnacentral:rRNA from 1 species